rnacentral:rRNA from 1 species
AUUGAACGCUGGCGGCAGGCCUAACACAUGCAAGUCGAGCGGAUGAAGGGAGCUUGCUCCUGGAUUCAGCGGCGGACGGGUGAGUAAUGCCUAGGAAUCUGCCUGGUAGUGGGGGAUAACGUCCGGAAACGGGCGCUAAUACCGCAUACGUCCUGAGGGAGAAAGUGGGGGAUCUUCGGACCUCACGCUAUCAGAUGAGCCUAGGUCGGAUUAGCCAGUUGGUGGGGUAAAGGCCUACCAAGGCGACGAUCCGUAACUGGUCUGAUAGGAUGACCAGUCACACUGGAACUGAGACACGGUCCAGCCUCCUACGGGAGGCAGCAGUGGGGAAUAUUGGACAAUGGGCGAAAGCCUGAUCAAGCCAUGCCGCGUGUGUGAAGAAGGUCUUCGGAUUGUAAAGCACGUUAAGUUGGGAGAAAGGGCAGUAAGUUAAUACCUUGCUGUUUUGACGUUACCAACAGAAUAAGCACCGGCUAACUUCGUG